rnacentral:rRNA from 1 species
UACAGAGGGUGCGAGCGUUGUUCGGAAUUACUGGGCGUAAAGCGCGCGCAGGCGGCCCUUUAAGUCCGUCGGUCAAAUGCCGGGGCUCAACCCCGAGCGUGCCGAGGAUACUGGAGGGCUGGAGACACGUAGAGGCAAGCGGAAUUCCGGGUGUAGCGGUGGAAUGCGUAGAUAUCAGGAGGAACACCAAUUGCGAAGGCAGCUCGCUGGGACGUUACUGACGCUGAGACGCGAAAGCGUGGGGAGCAAACAGG